UACGAAGGGGGCUAGCGUUACUCGGAAUUACUGGGCGUAAAGGGCGCGUAGGCGGCUCAUCAAGUCGGGCGUGAAAUUCCUGGGCUCAACCUGGGGACUGCGCUCGAGACUGGUGGGCUAGAGGAUGGAAGAGGGUCGUGGAAUUCCCAGUGUAGAGGUGAAAUUCGUAGAUAUUGGGAAGAACACCGGUGGCGAAGGCGGCGACCUGGUCCAUUACUGACGCUGAGGCGCGACAGCGUGGGGAGCAAACAGG
rnacentral:rRNA from 1 species